rnacentral:rRNA from 1 species
CCUACGGGAGGCAGCAGUGAGGAAUAUUGGUCAAUGGACGCAAGUCUGAACCAGCCAUGCCGCGUGCAGGAUGACGGCCCUAUGAGUUGUAAACUGCUUUUGUACGAGGGUAAACGCAGAUACGCGUAUCUGUCUGAAAGUAUCGUACGAAUAAGGAUCGGCUAACUCCGUGUCAGCAGCCGCGGUAAUACGGAGUAUCCGAGCGUUAUCGGGAUUUAUUGGGUGUAAAGGGUGCGUAGGCGGUCGGAUAAGUUUGAGGUGAAAUCCCCAGGCUCAACUUCGGAGUUGCAUCUGAAACUGGACGGCUAGAGAGUAGUAGCGGUAGACGGAAUUGAUAGUGUAGCGGUGAAAUGCUUAGAGAUCAUACAGAACACCGAUGGCGAAGGCAGCUUACCAAGCUGCAUCUGACGCUGAGGCACGAAAGCGUGGGGAGCAAACAGGAUUAGAUACCCCAGUAGUC